AUCGCUUCUCGAGCUUUUGGCUCGGAUCAAAAAGUGUAGUAUCUGUUCUUACAAGCGUAAUUUCUUGUACGCUACCCACGUGGUAGCACAGAAGUUAUCCCUAUUUUUGGAGUUUGGUGAUUGUUACUUGCUUGCAGGUUCUUCACCACGGGUUGUCAUGUCCUUGCACUAUUGACGUGUACAGCCCAUUUAUU
rfam:Intoshia linei isolate Intl2013 Contig_18237, whole genome shotgun sequence.